UUGACUUUUACUGUUUGUUUUUGUUCAGCUUUAAUGCAGCAGCCCUGUACAGCUCAGUUCACCUGAUAAUGAUAGAAUAAUUGAGACAGGGAAAAGGAAAUUGGAAAUAAAAAGUUUCUGAAAUCUGGGUGUAAGUGCAACAAAUACUUUUCUGACAAGUAGAUGAAAAACAGUAUCUGCUGAUGCUGUACAUUGAUCUAUGUCCACAGAGCUACUCCAGUGGCUCACUUUACCUUAACUAGAGAACAGUUGCUUGCUAAAGCAAACUGAAUUUUGAAUUUUGAUAUCUGCCAAAGUUAUCUCAUCUAAAGGUUCCAGUGAACCCUCAAGCCAUACAACCUGUCAAAUAGCAGCAAAAUCUUGAGAUAGUCCUACAUGCACUGAAAGAUAGGGGCUUCUAAAUGUCUUUUUCCUACAUGAGCAGGAAUUUGAAUCUAUUGUUAAAAUUCCUAGCAAGCUAUGGGCUAUGCACAGUGCUGCUACAUCAAUUUAAACAACAUUAAAGAACUGCUUUGCACAAUAAAUAAUACAGUGAUUAAUAGCAAUUAAUGUAAAACGAGCUAUUAGGCUAUGAUAUUUUUUAUUUAUAUGGAACAAACUGAAACUAGCAAGCAAAGCACUGCUGACUGCAGUAUAUCUCAGAACAUAUGGUAAAACUGCAGCGUAGGUUAAACGGAAGGAGAAUUUUCAGGAGGACAAGUUGCUUUUUAACUGCUGGAGGGAGCUAAAGAAACAACUGCAGAGGCUGCUUUUUAGGUAGAUGAGCAGUGUAGGAAAAAUAUAGAAAAAAAGAUGAUGUAGGUUGUUUGCAUAUCGCUCUGAAAUAAAACCUUGUUAUUAUGGCUUGCUUUAUUUCACUUGUAGCUGAAAGUAGAUUAUGGCUUCCUGUAGAUGGCAGAAUUUCAGCGUAGAGUCUGAUGGCAAGGUGAAUGAAAACAGCAUUUUGCAGGGCACAACCAAAUUCUGGUAAAAAUUCAGGCUCUGAAAGAGUGCAAAAAUGCUUCUACAUGACUGAGAUGAUGAUAAGGCUGCCUGUAAUCUGACCAAAUUCACUUGAAGCUAUGAGGUUUCACAGUAGCACCAGUAGCACAGUCCAUUCAGGAGGAGCAGGAAACCCAUAACUGAGAUGGCAUUGAAGUGGCACCCUUAGAAGUCUGAUAACCCUACAGGAGCUCAUGAGAGGAGGAAAAUCCUGCUGGUCUGGAUAGCAGCUGGAGGGGGAAGGAAACUGGCUUGAGUAUGGCAUGACAACAAUGUUGUGUAACAUCUGUACAGCUCAUAGUGGGGAGGUUGACAGCUCCAUGCCUUUCUGUGGCCUCCUGCAAGCUUCCCUGAAGACAGAAGUUUGUGGCUUACUGCAGACCAUAACAUAGAACUGAACUAACCUUGCUUGGAAGCAAGAGAUCAGUGCUCAGCAAUGAGAUGGACUGAACAAAAGUGAUAGUACAGGCAUACAUGUCAUGUGCUGUUCUGGUUUCCACCUUUCAAAAAAGAUAUAGAAGUAUUAGACAGGACACAGGAUAUGGACC